AGAACCAACAACAAAACUUCUGUCUGACGGAAUUCAACCUUAAAAAAAUAUAUGUAGGAUAUGGGAACUGGAUUUGAAAGUGACAGGUUUUGAUUAAUAACCUCGGAUUGUCAUUUAAAAUGUAUCUUUCCUAAGUGUACUAGUCAAAACAAAACUCAAAUACAGAAAUUACAAUUAGUUUUUCAAAUAGUCGUUGUGCAAACAAGUACGCGGCUACUUCGAGAUGACAACCGAAUUGACAAACAAAUUGCCGCAUAACAGGGGCACCUCUGCGCCUACGAGAUGACAUCUAAACCGACAAACCGGCUAGCAUCGGUUGCCGCAUAACAGGGGCACCUCUGCGCCUAACGAGAUGACAAUCGAACCAUCCAGCAGAGUACUACUGGUUGCUGCAUACUGGGGACAUCCGUGCAUAAAAAUAAAAGAAAUGCGUGCAAAUACAUAGACAUAAGUGAAAAGAUGUACAAAUAGUUCUAAGUCAGCAGUAUUAAAAUAACUUGUAAUUAUAUAGUAACUUUAAUAAACAAUCAAACAAAUAAACGUGUCAGAUUUUAUUCGUGCCACUCUUCCCAUAUCAUGUUCUCCUGUUAUGCUCAAAGUUCAACAAUGUUGCAAAUG